rnacentral:rRNA from 1 species
ACUCAAUACAAUCAAUAAAAUAUAAACAAAUUUAUAUUAAUUAUUUAAAAAUAAAAAUUUUCUAUCCUUUAAGACAAUAUAAAAUGAAAAUUAAUAUAAGAAUGUUAUAUUAUUAAAAUUAAAAUUUUUUGUUAUUUUAAAAAUAUAUAUUAAAUAAUUAAUAUAAAAUUUGAGUAGAGUUUGAUCCUGGCUCAGAAUAAAUGCUAUCGGUAUGCU